UCUACGGGAGGCAGCAGUGGGGAAUAUUGCACAAUGGGCGAAAGCCUGAUGCAGCGACGCCGCGUGAGGGAUGAAGGCCUUCGGGUUGUAAACCUCUUUCAGCAGGGAAGAAGCGCAAGUGACGGUACCUGCAGAAGAAGCACCGGCUAACUACGUGCCAGCACCCGCGGUAAUACGUAGGGUGCGAGCGUUGUCCGGAAUUAUUGGGCGUAAAGAGCUCGUAGGCGGCUUGUCGCGUCGGAUGUGAAAGCCCGGGGCUUAACCCCGGGUCUGCAUUCGAUACGGGCAGGCUAGAGUGUGGUAGGGGAGAUCGGAAUUCCUGGUGUAGCGGUGAAAUGCGCAGAUAUCAGGAGGAACACCGGUGGCGAAGGCGGAUCUCUGGGCCAUUACUGACGCUGAGGAGCGAAAGCGUGGGGAGCGAACAGGAUUAGAUACCCUGGUAGUCCACGCCGUAAACGUUGGGCACUAGGUGUGGGUCACAUUCCACGUGGUCCGCGCCGCAGCUAACGCAUUAAGUGCCCCGCCUGGGGAGUACGGCCGCAAGGCUAAAACUCAAAUGAAUUGACGGA
rnacentral:rRNA from 1 species